ensembl:lncRNA
GUCCCAAGAAGCAAGUCUGAUGUGUACCAGGCAGUGACAACCAGUGUGGCCCUUUGGCAGAUGUCACUUGCAGGUGGUGUUUGCAGCACUCAUGUCCUCAUGUCAGGUGGGAUCUGUGAAAAGCUGGAGAGAUGUCAGGAGCCUCCCCAGGAAAUGAAAGAAGAGUAAUUUGGGUCUAGUGGCUCAGAGACAGAGGGACACAACUGCACACCCCAUCCCUGUCCCUGUCCCCGAGGCCAUGGAAAGAGCUGGAUGCCAGUGCUGGGGACUCCUGCCUCCUCCGGAAGUGCGUGGAGGCUGGCGGGUGUCCGGUGACUCUGGCUGCUGUGAGGACGUCUGGCUGGACAGGGCUGGCGCAGUCCUCCAGGGUGGCUGACAACCCACUUCCAAGGGAUCCUCAGAGGCACGGGAGCCAGGCAACUCUGGAAAGUCGCCCGGAGAACUAGUGGACUCAGCGGACCACACCCCGUUCCAGCAGAGCUCCCCAGGGCUGGAAGAAGCAAGGCCAUAGGACUUGGGGCCCAGCAUCUGGGAAACCAUGGCCUCUUCAACCCAAAGAAGCUGAACCCAGGAUGGCCCUGGGCAACUGGGAAUCCAGGGUCUCAAGCAGCACAAUCACAUCCUGGAUAUUUCCUGAAUGUGUGAGACCCAGGGGAUAUUAAUCAAUACAACAUUCCUAUCUGGGGAAAAAACAGAACCUAAAUGAUUGCCUUUGCACAUGUCCCCAAAAGAAAUGGUUUUUAAUUUGCUAGGAUGAGCUGACCCUGCUUAAGCUUUUAGUUACUAAAGUAAGCUUAAUUAAGAUUUUAUUACUUUUCUAUGCUGUUUUUUGUCCCAUUUACUGAAAGAAAAGGUAACAUUCAUGACAGCAAAACCCUGUACCCCUUUCAUAACUGUCAUGACUCGACACCCACCGUAGCCACAGAUUAUUCCUGCCCCCGAAUGGGUGUCACCAAUGUGGCACUAAGGUCGAGGCUGGGAGGAACAGUCGGGGCUGUCCUGGGCAAGCAGCACCUCCUCUCAAAGCUGUGACAGUCAAGAACAUCUCCAAACACUGGGGCUGUUGGGGGAGGCAGAGUCACCCCAGGAUGGGAUCAGGGAUCUGAAAACCACAACCACAGGAAUCCUGCCCUCCGCCUACUCUUGCAAGCAAAGUUUUAUUAGAACGCAGCCAUGCUUGUCUGUCUACCAGUGGCAUGUGCUCUACUCCACAGCACCAGAGCAGAGUUGAGCACAGGCACCAGGGGUUGCCCAGGCCACAGAGGUCACAACAUUGAUCAGCCAGCCAUUCCCAGAAGUUCACACCCUCUGCUCUGGACUGUCUUUCCUCUCCUCCAUCUCUGCUAGGUCCAUCCACCUGCCUCCAUCCCAGUGGUGGCAUCCUGGCCUUCCCGGGUCACCCCACCCAGACAUCUGCAGACUUUCCUCAGGACAUUCCUCCCUAUGGUCUUGGGCCCUUCGGUCCAAUCCAC